rnacentral:rRNA from 1 species
AUUGAACGCUGGCGGAAUGCUUUACACAUGCAAGUCGAACGGCAGCACGGACUUCGGUCUGGUGGCGAGUGGCGAACGGGUGAGUAACAUAUCGGAACGUAUCCAAUAAUGGGGGAUAACGAGUCGAAAGAUUCGCUAAUACCGCAUACGCCCUACGGGGGAAAGCUGGGGACCUUCGGGCCUGGCGUUAAUGGAGCGGCCGAUAUCUGAUUAGCUAGUUGGUGAGGUAAAGGCCCACCAAGGCGACGAUCAGUAGCUGGUCUGAGAGGACGACCAGCCACACUGGAACUGGGACACGGUCCAGACUCCUACGGGAGGCAGCAGUGGGGAAUUUUGGACAAUGGGCGCAAGCCUGAUCCAGCCAUUCCGCGUGAGUGAAGAAGGCCUUCGGGUUGUAAAGCUCUUUCGCAAGGGAAGAAAACUUAGCCACUAACAUUGGUUGAGGUUGACGGUACCUUGAUAAGAAGCACCGGCUAACUACGUGCCAGCCGCCGCCGUAA